rnacentral:rRNA from 1 species
UACAUAGGGUGCAAGCGUUAAUCGGAAUUACUGGGCGUAAAGCGUGCGCAGGCGGUUAUGUAAGUCAGAUGUGAAAUGCCCGGGCUUAACCUGGGAACUGCAUUUGUGACUGCAUGGCUAGAAUCUGGCAGAGGGGGGUAGAAUUCCACGUGUAGCAGUGAAAUGCGUAGAUAUGUGGAGGAAUACCGAUGGCGAAGGCAGCCCCCUGGGCUAAGAUUGACGCUCAUGCACGAAAGCGUGGGGAGCAAACAGG